rnacentral:rRNA from 1 species
UACGUAGGGUGCAAGCGUUGUCCGGAAUUAUUGGGCGUAAAGAGCUCGUAGGCGGUUUGUCGCGUCUGCUGUGAAAACCCGAGGCUCAACCUCGGGCCUGCAGUGGGGUACGGGCAGACUAGAGUGGCGGUAGGGGAGAUUGGAAUUCCUGGUGUAGCGGUGGAAUGCGCAGAUAUCAGGAGGAACACCGAUGGCGAAGGCGGCUCUCUGGACCGGAUCUGACGCUGAGGAGCGAAAGCGUGGGGAGCGAACAGG